UGGGGAAUUUUGCACAAUGGGGGAAACCCUGAUGCAGCGACGCCGCGUGAUUUAGAAGGCCUUCGGGUUGUAAAAAUCUUUUCUAUGGGAAGAAAAUGACAGUACCAUAGGAAUAAGGACCGGCUAAUUACGUGCCAGCAGCCGCGGUAAUACGUAAGGUCCGAGCGUUGUCCGGAAUCAUUCGGCGUAAAGGGUACGUAGGCGGGUAAGCAAGUUAGAAGUGAAAUCCUAUAGCUCAACUAUAGUAAGCUUUUAAAACUGCUCAUCUUGAUGUAUGGAAGGGAAAGUGGAAUUCCUAGUGUAGCGGUGAAAUGCGCAGAUAUUAGGAGGAAUACCGGUGGCGAAGGCGGCUUUCUGGCCAUAACCUGACGCUGAGGUACGAAAGCGUGGGUAGCAAACAGG
rnacentral:rRNA from 1 species